UACGUAGGUGGCAAGCGUUGUCCGGAAUUAUUGGGCGUAAAGCGCGCGCAGGUGGUUCCUUAAGUCUGAUGUGAAAGCCCACGGCUCAACCGUGGAGGGUCAUUGGAAACUGGGGAACUUGAGUGCAGAAGGGGAAAGUGGAAUUCCAAGUGUAGCGGUGAAAUGCGUAGAGAUUUGGAGGAACACCAGUGGCGAAGGCGACUUUCUGGUCUGUAACUGACACUGAGGCGCGAAAGCGUGGGGAGCAAACAGG
rnacentral:rRNA from 1 species